ACUGCUCAGUAACACGUGGACAACCUGCCCUUAGGUUGGGUAUAAACCCGGGAAACUGGGUAUAAUACCCGAUAGGUCUCGAUUGCUGGAAUGCAUCGAGAUUUAAAGCUCCGGCGCCUAAGGAUGGGUCUGCGGCCUAUCAGGUAGUAGUUGGUGUAGCGUACCUACUAGCCUACGACGGGUACGGGUUGUGAGAGCAAGAGCCCGGAGAUGGAUUCUGAGACACGAAUCCAGGCCCUACGGGGUGCAGCAGGCGCGAAAACUUUACAAUGCUGGCAACAGCGAUAAGGGAACCUCGAGUGCCAGGUUACAAAUCUGGCUGUCGAGAUGCCUAAAAAGCAUUUCAUAGCAAGGGCCGGGCAAGACCGGUGCCAGCCGCCGCGGUAACACCGGCGGCUCGAGUGGUAACCGUUAUUAUUGGGUCUAAAGGGUCUGUAGCCGGCCGGAUAAGUCUCUUGAGAAAUCUGGCAGCUUAACUGUCAGGCUUUCAGGAGAUACUGUCUGGCUCGAGGCCGGGAGAGGUGAGAGGUACUUCAGGGGUAGGGGUGAAAUCUUGUAAUCCUUGAAGGACCACCAGUGGCGAAGGCGUCUCACCAGAACGGACCUGACGGCAAGGGACGAAAGCUAGGGGCACGAACCGGAUUAGAUACCCGGGUAGUCCUAGCCGUAAACGAUACUCGCUAGGUGUCGGCCACGGUGCGACCGUUGUCGGUGCCGUAGGGAAGCCGUGAAGCGAGCCACCUGGGAAGUACGGCCGCAAGGCUGAAACUUAAAGGAAUUGGCGGGGGAGCAC
rnacentral:rRNA from 1 species